rnacentral:lncRNA from 1 species
UGAGAAGCAGUUGUGCACUUGGGAAGUUUCCAUGUGAUUCUUCGCGAUAAUCUUGAAGCAAACGAAGGAAAAACCAGAAUAUCUGGUUUAGUAGACAACACUCGUAAUGCGACUGCACCAGGGGUUCAUGUUGUGAGGAAACGUUGAAACCACCCCCGAAGUGACCACCUUCACCAUAGAACAAAGCACCAUCACCGCUGCUAGUUAAUUGUUAUGGUCUAACCUUAUUUACCAUACCAAUUAUAGAUCGUAAACACAGCAAUGAUCCCUUUUUGGGUUUUACCUUUUCUCUUCACCAGCCUCAAUCCUUCACAUGAUGACUUCGGUAUAAAGACGAAUGAAUGCCAACAGGUGAGCCCCGUUAAACCAUGUCUUUGUUUUAGCCUGAACGUUUUCACAUGAAAAAUAGACCAUUGUGGUUCACUAAAAUAAAAUCAAAGAAUUGUUUUGAAAGUAAAAAUGUAGCAAAAUAAUAUUGGUUGAAAAAGUAUUUUAAAAAUAAUAUAGUUUAAAUAAAACUAGUGAUCCCUAAUCACGGUUACAUAACAAAAUUGCAAUUCAGAAUCAUGUGUUCAAUUAGUACAAAACCUAGCCUUUUCUUCUUCUUCCUCUAAUAGUCGCCUUACAUCUCUAUAAAAAAAAAAAAAAAGAGUUUCUCCACCCCCAAUUCAUCAAAAACAACUAUUUAUUCUUCACCGAGACACCAAAAUCAGAUCCCUUUCGUAUCCAUGCAUCUUUGUAGUGUUUUUUUUAAAUAAAAAAAAACACGAGCCCAAUCUCCCCCUUUAGUUUCCAUCAAGGUAAAAACACUACAUUUCUCUUAAUUAUAUGAAUUUCAUUGUUAAAUUGUGAGAUUUUUAGUUUUGAUUUAUUAUUGUUUAUGUGGUGUUUGAUAACUGGGUAUUUGGUUGGAAUUAAGAUAAUUUAGAGUAAUUAGAUAUGUUUUUAUGCAAUUGAUGUGAUUUAUGAUAUCAAUUAGGUCAGAAUAGAUAAAUUAAGGUUUGCAAAUUAAAACAAUUAGGGUUUGCGUUGAAUUUCAAGAUAAAUUAUCGUAAUUGGAGACUUUGUUUGAACUAAGAUAAUUUAGGUUUUAAUUAAUACAAUUAUGUAUAUUUUCAUGCAAUUGAUAUUAUGAAGGUUAAAAUCAUAGCAAUUAGAGUUUGCGUUGAGUUUUGGGAUAAAUUACUAUAAUUAGGGAUUUUGCUUGAAUUCAGAUAAUUUAAGUCUGAAUUGAUGCAACUAGAUAUGUUUUCAUGCUAUUGAUGUUAUGAAUGUGGAAAUCAUAACAAUUAGGGUUUGCGUUGAGUUUUGAGAUAAAUUACUAUAAUCGAGGAUUUUACUUGAAUUGAGAUAAUUUAAGUUUUAAUUGAUGCAAUUGCUAUUAUGAAGGUCAAAAUCAUAGCAAUUAGGGUUUGUGUUGAAUUUUGAGGUUUGAAUAUAGUUUUGGGAUAAAUUGUUAUUAUUGGGGAUUUUGCUUAAAUUGAGAUGAUUUAAGUUUUAAUUGAUGCAAUUAGGUAUGCUUUCAUGCAAUUGAUGUUAUGAAGGUCAGAAUCUAACAAUUAGGGUUCGCGUUGAGUUUUGGGAUAAAUUGCUAUAAUUGAGAAUUUAUCUUGAAUUGAGAUAAUUUAAGUUUUAAUUGAUGCAAUUAGUUAUGUUUUCAUACUAUUAGGUCAAAAAUCAUAGCAAUUAGAUUUGCAUUGAGUUUUCGGAUAAAUUGUUGUAAUUUAAGUUUUUGUUUGAAUUGAGAUAAUUUAAGUUUUAAUUGAUGUGAUUAAGCAUGUUUUCAUGCAAUUGAUUGAAAUUGAUAUUCUUCUUUUACUAAACAUAUCUUCCAACUUGUUUAUUUUAUGUCAUUAUGGUGGUAUUAUUGUUCCUAAUAUGAACAAUAGCAUCACUUAUAAUGACGGAAGUAUUGUGUUUUACAAAUAUUAUAUAUGUGUGUGUGUGUGUGUGUGUGUGUGUGUGUGUUUUGUUGAAUACAACUAGAGAUAUGUCAUUUACAAAUAUCUAUAGUUGUAUACCAACCCGAACCUACCCUGCCCUCGUCCCUUAUGGUAAAGCAUNNNNNNNNNNNNNNNNNNNNNNNNNNNNNNNNNNNNNNNNNNNNNNNNNNNNNNNNNNNNNNNNNNNNNNNNNNNNNNNNNNNNNNNNNNNNNNNNNNNNNNNNNNNNNNNNNNNNNNNNNNNNNNNNNNNNNNNNNNNNNNNNNNNNNNNNNNNUGGUCAAUUGGUGGUUUAGGAUUGUGGGGGAAUAUUUGCAGUAAGAGGGAGAAGGAAGAACAUUCCCCGUAAGAGAGAAUGAAGAAAAUGACUUACAAUGUCUUUACCUCUCUCCUUCUGUAUAUAACAAAUGGGUCUAGCUAAAUGGACCAAUAAAACAAUAAUGGAUUAUAUAUUAAUGGAUUAUAUGUUAUAUAUAUAUAUAUUGUGUAACAUAUAUGUAUACAUGUGUUUAUGUAAAUACAUAUAGGUGCUUGUCUACAUACAUAUGUUUGUUAGUCAAUCAAAACCAAGCUUAUCGCUGCUGAAACUCCGGCUCUCCAAUUUUUCAGGAGCAUGCUAUCCUCCAGGUUGAUCUCUCAAGAUCCAUACAAGUCAAAGACUAAGUCGAGUUGUACAUACCUCUAGUGAUACUUUCGUAUACUCUCUCACACACACACACACAUAUAAUAUUUGUAAAUGACAUAUCUCUAGUUGUAUUCAACAAAACACACACACACACACACACACACACACACACACACACACAUAUAAUAUUUGUAAAUGACAUAUCUCUAGUUGUAUUCAACAACACAAUACUUUCUUCAUUAUAUAUAUAGUAAACAAUAGUAUCACUAGAGGCAUGUACAACUCGAAUUGGACUUAAACAUGGAUAGAUCUUGAGAGAUCAAACUGCAUGAUUGUUCAACGUUGAUGAUGACACUUUUAAGAUACACACCUAUAAACUAGGUGGCUAAAAAGAAAAUCAAUGAUUGGGUUAAGUUGGUUGAAGAGAUAUGCACAUGUUGUAAAUGACAUAGUUUUCAUUAGCCUUGUUCACACAUUCUUACAUGUUGUGCAAAAAUCAUAUUGAUUUUAUCCAAUUCAUUGAUCCGUAUUAUAAUGUUCAGUUGUAUAGAAAGGCAUUUGAGACUCAUUCCAUCCUUUACUUGACAAAUUAAAUUGUAGUGAAUAUACUGGUUCUCGAGUAAAACCAAACCCUUCUAGAUGUAAAACUGGUUGGGGUUGCAAAAAGUCCACUCAAUUGCAUAAUGUGAUGGAUGCAAGGGAGGGAAAUUUCUAAAAUAGAUGUGGCAUACUCGGUCAGACAGGGCAUAAUAAGAAAGCUUGUGAGUAUAGACAACAUAUGUAUCUAAUUAUUACAAGUUAACAUUGUAUGUUAUUUGUUAUUAUAUAAUGAGAUGUUAUGUUUAAAGUUAAAUCUUGUAUUAUAUUAUGUUGAUCUGAUAUAAUAUAUGUGUUAUAGGUAUAAUUGGAUAUGAUGUCAUCUACACGGGGAUCUACUUCAUCUGUAUAUAAAGGCC